UGCCCGGUCGUCUAAUGGCAGGACAGCGGUUUUUGGGGCCGUGAGUGGGGGUUCGAAUCCUCCCCGGGCAA
rnacentral:tRNA from 1 species